rnacentral:rRNA from 1 species
UAUCGAGGGAACCGCCUGAACUGAAACAUCUAAGUAGGGCGAGGAAGAGACAUCAAACGAGAUUCCGUAAGUAGUGGCGAGCGAACGCGGAAGAGGGCAAACCGAGAGUAGAAAUACUUUCGGGGUACGGACUGCUUUUAGGACUUAAUCUGUUAACCGAACGGCAUGGGAAGGCCGGUCAGAGAGUGUGAGAACCACGUAGGUGAAAACGGAGAGAGCUGCGCAGGAUCCAGAGUACGGCCAGACACGUGAAACCUGGUCGGAAUACGGGGGGACCACCCUCCAACCCUAAAUACUACCCAGUGACCGAUAGCGUAUAGUACUGUGAAGGAAAGGUGAAAAGCACCCCGGGAGGGGAGUGAAAAAGAACCUGAAACCCUGUGCCUACAAGCACCUAGAGCACGUCAAUGUGUGAUAGGGUACUUUUUGUAGAACGGUCCGGCGAGCGAUUGUAUGCAGCAAGGUUAAGGACUUAAGGUCUGGAGCCGAAGCGAAAGCGAGUUUGAAAAGGGCGUUAAGUUGCAUACAAUGGGCCCGAAACCGGGUGACCUACCCAUGGUCAGGUUGAAGUGGAAGUAAAAUUCCAUGGAGGACCGAACCGACCUCCGUUGAAAAGGCGGCGGAUGAACUGUGGGUAGCGGAGAAAUUCCAAUCGAACCCGGAGAUAGCUGGUUCUCCCCGAAAUAGUUUUAGGACUAGCCUCAAGUUAGAUACCUGGAGGUAAAGCACUGAAUAGCCUAGCGGCCGAGAGGUUAGCGAAGCUUAUCAAACUCAGAAUGCCAGAGUAUUGAUGCUUGGGAGUCAGACAGUGUCAGAUAAAUGUCAUUGUCAAAAGGGAAACAGCCCAGAUCUACAGCUAAGGUCCCAAAGUCAGGUUAAGUGGAAAACGAUGUGAAGAUACGCAGACAACCAGGAUGUUGGCUCAGAAGCAGCCACUCAUUCAAAGAGUGCGUAAUAGCUCACUGGUCGAGCGUCUUUGCGCGGAGAAUUUAACGGGGCUAAACCUGACACCGAAGCUUAGGCAAUACAGCAAUGUAUUGGGUAGGGGAGCGUUGUAUACGCGGUGAAACAGUAGCGCAAGCGGCUGUGGAGUGUAUAGAAGUGAGAAUGCCGGAAUGAGUAGCGCGAAUGCAGUGAGAAUCUGCAUGGCCGAAAGCCUCAGGUUUCUGGAGGAAGGUUCGUCCGCUCCAGGUUAGUCGGGAGCUAAGGUGAGGCCUAACGGCGUAGCCGAUGCACAGACGGUAGAGAUUCCGUCACCACCAAAAGAGUUAAACACAGGGACACAUUUGAAGUCUCGGAGCCGGGUGUUGGUUCCGGUAGCGAUCGAGGGAAGUUAGUACCGAAGUCCGGGAUGGAAGAUGGCGAGAAAAGCUGUGUGUAUUUCUGCGGUGCCCGUACCGCAAACCGACACAGGUAGGUAGGAAGAAGAUUCUAAGGCCAACGGGAGAAGGGUUGUUAAGGAACUCGGCAAAUUGACCCCGUAACUUCGGGAGAAGGGGUGCUCCAGAGAUGGAGCCGCAGAGAAUCGGCCCAAGCAACUGUUUACCAAAAACACAGGUUUGUGCUAAAUCGAAAGAUGACGUAUACGAGCUGACGCCUGCCCGGUGCUGGAAGGUUAAGAGGAGAUGUGCAAGCAUUGAAUCGAAGCCCCAGUGAACGGCGGCCGUAACUAUAACGGUCCUAAGGUAGCGAAAUUCCUUGUCAGGUAAGUUCUGACCCGCAUGAAAGGCGUAAUGAUUUGGGCACUGUCUCAACAGCCCGCCCGGCGAAAUUGUAGUACCGGUGAAGAUGCCGGUUACCCGCGACAAGACGGAAAGACCCCAUGGAGCUUUACUGUAGCCUAAUAUUGGGUUUCGAUGUUGCAUGCACAGGAUAGAUGGGACACAGGGAAACAAGUGCUUUGGCAUUUGUGGAGUGGCCGUUGGGAUACCAUCCUUGCGAUAUUGGAAUUCUAACCUGCGCCUUUGAAUCAAGGCGGGGGACAUUGUUAGGUGGGCAGUUUGACUGGGGCGGUCGCCUCCUAAAGAGUAACGGAGGCGUUCAAAGGUUCGCUCAGCUUGAACGGAAAUCAAGCAAAAGAGUGCAAACGCAGAAGCGAGCCUAACUGCGAGACUGACGGGUCGAGCAGUAACGAAAGUUGGAGUUAGUGAUCCGGUGGUAUGUGAGUGGAAAUGCCAUCGCUCAACGGAUAAAAGUUACCCUGGGGAUAACAGGCUGAUCUCCCCCAAGAGUCCACAUCGACGGGGAGGUUUGGCACCUCGAUGUCGGCUCAUCGCAUCCUGGGGCUGUAUUCGGUCCCAAGGGUUUGGCUGUUCGCCAAUUAAAGCGGUACGCGAGCUGGGUUCAGAACGUCGUGAGACAGUUCGGUCCCUAUCUGUCGUGGGCGCAGGAUAUUUGAUGGGAGCUGUUCCUAGUACGAGAGGACCGGAGCGGACGUACCUCUGGCGCACCAGUUGUUCUGCCAAGAGCAUAGCUGGGCAACUAUGUACGGAUCGGAUAAACGCUGAAAGCAUCUAAGCGUGAAGCCGACCCAAAGAUAAGAUAUCCCAUUGUUUCAAACAAGUAAGACCCCUUGAAGACUACAAGGUUGAUAGGCACGAUGUGUAAGUGGAGUGAUCCAUUCAGCAAGCGUGUACUAAUAGGUCGAGGGCUUGACCAC